UUAAGUGACGAUAGCCUAGGAGAUACACCUGUUCCCAUGCCGAACACAGCAGUUAAGCCUAGAACGCCUGAAGUAGUUGGGGGUUGCCCCCUGUUAGAUACGGUAGUCGCUUAGC
rnacentral:rRNA from 1 species